rnacentral:snoRNA from 1 species
CAGCACUUGAUACUAACUGAGUUAUCUAUACCCUAACUAUGUGUCAGAGACUUGUGAUGUGUUGAGAUAACUGGUUUAAGAAGUGCAAGAUUAAUAAUAAAGGCGUGAGUCUUUUAAGCCCAGUGUGUAAAGAUGCACUCUAAAUUAUAACUCAAAGGCACAUAG